ensembl:lncRNA
CCCCCAACCCCAGCACGUGACUUGAGAGCCAGACCUGCGGGGUUCAGAGUAGAAGACCCGGAACCCAUCAGACCACCUGGCACCCAGCAGAUGUCUGUCAAUGAGAGGCCUCCAGGAGUCUAAUGUGACAUUCUGGGUAAGAGCCUCAUGCGUGUGCAUAUGACAUCUCCCUUAACGAUGUACGAAAUCGCUGUAUGGAGACAGAUCACCAGCAGGGCGGAGAGGAACCAGCGGGAGACGCCAUCAGCCUGGCAGACUGUGGCCGCCACUGCUACUUCAGAAGAAACGGGCAAGGCUAAGAGGUCCCAGGGGUCUCCAUCUGGAAAGUGCUCAUCCACAAGGGAUGCAAAGAACAUCUGGCCUCAGCGCCCAGACUUGACAACAUCCGACGUCAUUCACACACAGGUUCGCAAGGCAAUGGCUCAUGCGUCCCCCGCUGCUGGGCCCAGGUGAGAAAUCAGCUCCCCCAACAGAAGCGCCAGCUAUUUCUAGGAGAUUCUAAUGGGACUCUGGGCUUCCCUAGUGGCUCAGAGGUAAAGAAACCACCUGCCAAUGCAGGAGAUGAGCGUUUGAUCCCUGGGUUGGAAAGAUUCUCUGGAGAAGGAAAUGGCAACCCACUCCACUAUAUUCUUGCCUGGGAAAUUCCAUGAAACAGAGCAGCCUGGAAGGCUUCAGUCCAUGGGGUUGAAAAGAACUGGACUCAACUUAGUGACUAAACAACAGCAACAACAGCAGUGGGAUUCUGAAAGCACCAGAGCCUGAUGAAAUGGGAGAAAGAAUUUCUCCCCAAGUUGAUGCCACACUCUGCCUACAAGGUACUGAAGUCCCCUCACAGAGCUUCUUGUAAUCACCUCUGGAUCUCACGGACCAUGCAUCAAGGGCUUUCAUAACAACUGUUUGUUCCUGUGACCACUAGACCUCUACAGAUCAGGCAACUGAGUGACAGAGAAGUUAAGAAACCUGCCUCAGAGUCAGCUUCAUCCAGCUCAAAGGUGGAAGGAGAGAGACUGCAGGUGACUAAUCCAUGGGACUUUCAUGCGCUACACUUGGAAAAGUCAUACAUCACUCUGAUGCUCCUGUGCUCAGUUGCAUCUGACUCUUUGCAACCCCAUGGACUGUAGCCCACCAGGCUCCUCUGUCCAUGGGAUUUUCCAGGCAAGGAUACUGGAGUGGGGAUGCCAUUUCCUCUGCCAGAGGAUAUUCCUGAUCCAGGAAAUCAAACCCAGAUCUCCUGAGUCUCCUGCAUUGGCAGCCAGAUUUUUUUUUUUUUUUUUUUUUUUUUACCACUGAGCCACCUGGGAAGCCCUACAUCACUCUGCCCACUUUCCAUUGGCCAGAACUCAGUCACAUGGUCCCAUUAAACCACAAGGGAUGCCGGGAAAUGGCGCUAGUGGUAAAGAACCUACCUGUCAAUACAGAAGAUAUAAGAGAUGCAGGUUCUAUCCCUGGGUCAGGAAAAUCCCCUGGAGGAGGGUGUGGCAAUGCACUCCAACAUUCUUGCCUGGAGAAUCCCAUGGACAGAGGAGCCUGUCCAUGGCUACAGUCCAUGGGGUUGCAAAGAAUUGGACAUGACUGAAGCAACUUAGUACACAGGUACAUGAGACCAAAGGGGAAAAGGCAUGGGUUUUGGAAAUUCAGAGCUGUCUCUACCACAGGCACUAAGCAAAGUCCUGGGAGCUCUAAUGAGUCUGGGAAGCCAGAUUAAAAAAUAGACUCCAUCAUCUUUCAAUCAUCCAUCUCGUCCACUCCCAGUCUUACAAUGAAAUCUUUCAGAUCUAUCCCUGGACAGUGUUCAGAGGAAGAGGAGGUGGAGGUGAAAGUAAUCGAUGAGGACUCUCUGGGGUUGUCUGGAUGUUGCUCAAAUGUAAAAUUGAGGGACCAUUU